AUACUUACCUGGACGGGGUCCAUGGGAGAUCAACAAGGUACAUGGCCUAGGUUGGUGACCUCCAUUGCACUUUCAAUGGGUGCCAGCCUAAGGUCGGCCCAAGUGGCUGAGCCUACGUCAUAAUAUGUGGCAGCGGGGGCCUGCGUUCGCGCAGCCCAUA
rfam:Capsicum annuum cultivar Zunla-1 chromosome 5, whole genome shotgun sequence